rnacentral:rRNA from 1 species
AGAGUUUGAUCAUGGCUCAGGACGAACGCUGGCGGCGCGCCUAACACAUGCAAGUCGAACGGUGAAGAGGAGCUUGCUCCUUGGAACAGUGGCGGACGGGUGAGUAACACGUGAGCAACCUGGCUCUAAGAGGGGGACAACAGUUGGAAACGACUGCUAAUACCGCAUAACGUAUCGGGAUGGCAUCUUCCUGAUACCAAAGAUUUUANCGCUUAGAGAUGGGCUCGGCGUCUGAUUAGAUAGUUGGCGGGGUAACGCCACAAGUCGACGAUCAGUAGCCGGACUGAGAGGCUGAACGGCCACAUUGGGACUGAGACACGGCCCAGACUCCUACGGGAGCA